AAGUAUAUAUAUAUAAAUAAUAUUGUAUUUUUACGUUUUUAGGUAUAAAUUUUUUAUAUAUGAUAUUGGGUGGAGAGAGAGGAAGGAGAUAUGUUAUGGGGAUUAAGGUUAGAGGGAAAAAAUUUAAAUAAAAUUAAAGAAUAGAGGGGGUUUAAAAUGUUUAGUUAUGAUAAUUAAUAUGUUAUGAAUUGAAGAAAUAAUUUAGUUUUGUAUUAA
rnacentral:misc_RNA from 1 species